rnacentral:rRNA from 1 species
UACGAAGGGGGCUAGCGUUGUUCGGAAUUACUGGGCGUAAAGCGCACGUAGGCGGAUUUGUAAGUCAGGGGUGAAAUCCCCGGGCUUAACCUGGGAACUGCGUUUGAAACUACAAGGCUAGAGUGUGACAGAGGGGGGUGGAAUUCCACGUGUGAGCAGUGAAAUGCGUAGAUAUUCGCAAGAACACCAGUGGCGAAGGCGGCUCACUGGCCCGAUACUGACGCUGAGGCACGAAAGCGUGGGGAGCAAACAGG